rnacentral:rRNA from 1 species
AACGAACGCUGGCGGCAUGCCUAACACAUGCAAGUCGAACGGGAUCUUCGGGUCUAGUGGCGCACGGGUGCGUAACGCGUGGGAAUCUGCCCUUUGGUUCGGAAUAACAGUUGGAAACGACUGCUAAUACCGGAUGAUGACGAAAGUCCAAAGAUUUAUCGCCAGAGGAUGAGCCCGCGUAGGAUUAGCGAGUUGGUGUGGUAAAGGCGCACCAAGGCGACGAUCCUUAGCUGGUCUGAGAGGAUGAUCAGCCACACUGGGACUGAGACACGGCCCAGACUCCUACGGGAGGCAACAGUGGGGAAUAUUGGACAAUGGGCGAAAGCCUGAUCCAGCAAUGCCGCGUGAGUGAUGAAGGCCUUAGGGUUGUAAAGCUCUUUUACCCGGGAUGAUAAUGACAGUACCGGGAGAAUAAGCUCCGGCUAACUCCGUGCCAGCCGCCGCCGUAA